CAGAGGCUGCAUCCUCACA
rnacentral:misc_RNA from 1 species